rnacentral:rRNA from 1 species
GACGAACCGUGCGAACGUUAUUCGGAAUCACUGGGCUUAAAGCGCGUGUAGGCGGGAGGGUACGUCCGUCGCUGAAAUCCCCCGGCUCAACCGGGGAACGGGCGCGGAUACGACCUUCCUGGAGGGGCGUAGGGGGACCUGGAACUUCCGGUGGAGCGGUGAAAUGCGUUGAGAUCGGAAGGAACGCCCGUGGCGAAAGCGAGGUCCUGGACGCCUACUGACGCUGAGACGCGAAAGCCAGGGGAGCCGAACGGGG